rnacentral:rRNA from 1 species
GAGUUUGAUCCUGGCUCAGAAUCAACGCUGGCGGCGUGCCUCAGACAUGCAAGUCGAACGCGAAAGUUUCCUUCGGGAGAUCAGUAGAGUGGCGCACGGGUGAGUAACACGUAGGUAAUCUACCCUUGGGUGGGGAAUAACAACCGGAAACGGUUGCUAAUACCGCAUAAUGCAGCGGCUCGACAUCGAGACAGUUGUUAAAGCGGGGAUCUUUCGAGACCUCGCGCCUAAGGAGGAGCCUGCGGCAGAUUAACUAGUUGGUGAGGUAAUGGCUCACCAAGGCAACGAUCUGUAGCCGGCCUGAGAGGGCGGUCGGCCACACUGACACUGAAUAACGGGUCAGACUCCUACGGGAGGCAGCAGUCGGGAAUUUUGGGCAAUGGGCGAAAGCCUGACCCAGCAACGCCGCGUGAAGGAUGAAGUCUUUCGGGAUGUAAACUUCGGAAGGAUGGGAAGAAUAACUUUAAGAUAAUACCUUAGAAGAUGACGGUACCAUCUUUAAGCCCCGGCUAACUACGUGCCAGCAGCCGCGGUAAUACCGUAGGGGGCAAGCGUUGUUCGGAUUUACUGGGCGUAAAGGGCGCGUAAGGCGGCGUGGCAAGUCACUUGUGAAAUCUCCGAGCUCAACUCGGAACGGUCAAGUGAUACUGCUGUGCUAGGAUGGGCGGAAGGGGCUACUGGAAUUCUCGGGUGGUAGCGGGUUGAAAUGGCGUAGAUUAUCGAGAGGAACACCUGGAGGCGAAAGCGGGGUUAGCUGGGGCCGACACUGACGCUGAGGCGCGAAGCUAGGGGAGCGAACGGGAUUAGAUACCCCGGGUAGUCUAGCUUCAAACGAUGGA